rnacentral:misc_RNA from 1 species
CCCCCCACUCAAGUAUCCUUUUGUGCUACUUGGAUUGCUUUGGAGAGGUGCUUCUUGAUAGAGUCGCCCUCCAGAAAUUUAUAGGCAGUAUGGUUUGCACCUGAACCAGACGUAAUAAUAAUAAAAUCGUUUGUUUGGGUAUAAUUGUGCUUGCCUUAACCCACCCAUUUUUACCUU